AGGAAUAUAGCUCAGUGGCAUAGCACCUGCCUGGCAAGCACGAGGCCCUGAGUUCAAUUCCUGGUACUA
rnacentral:tRNA from 1 species